AGCCGCGGGAGAGACCCGGUGAGGUCGCAGCUCAAGCCGCACGAGCCGGGCGCCGAAGGCGAAAGCAUCACCCUUUCGGGCGGGUGUGGUGGAAACGCUCAGGCACAAGGGACCGCGGC
rnacentral:ncRNA from 1 species